UACGGGGGGUGCGAGCGUUGUCCGGAAUCACUGGGCGUAAAGGGCGCGUAGGUGGUUUGAUAAGGGUGUGGUGAAAGUCCGGGGCUCAACUCCGGAUCUGCCGUGCCGACUGUCAAACUCGAGGGCUGUAGAGGCAGACGGAAUUCCGGGUGUAGCGGUGGAAUGCGUAGAGAUCCGGAGGAAGACCGGUGGCGAAGGCGGUCUGCUGGGCAGUUGCUGACGACUGAGGCG
rnacentral:rRNA from 1 species